UACGGAGGGGGCGAGCGUUGUUCGGAAUUAUUGGGCGUAAAGGGCGCGUAGGCGGCCUUGUAAGUCAAAGGUGAAAUCCCUCGGCUCAACUGAGGAACUGCCUUUGAAACUGCAAGGCUUGAGGCCGGGAGGGGGUAGCGGAAUUCCCAAUGUAGCGGUGAAAUGCGUAGAUAUUGGGAGGAACACCAGUGGCGAAGGCGG
rnacentral:rRNA from 1 species